UACAUUUUAAUAGGUAAAAUGUGCACCCUCAUCUUCCUCCUUCACCCCUCGUCUGCCUGCCAAAACUUAUCCCAAAAGGUAUUCAUUAACAGACGACGUGUAAUAGACGAACACUUGGAGUAGACGUCAACAUCAUCAACCCCAAAUCAGAGAUAGCUCAAAAAUAUCUGCUGCCCAACUGUCUGACCCGGUUUCCACACAAAUGUGUCUGUCUGCCUGAUUUCCUGACAAGUUGGAAAGGGACAUUUACAAAUGAGAAAAAAACAAUUCAAACUUUUUAACCACUGCCCAAACAGAAUGUUUCAUGUUGAUAUAUAUAUAUCAUUUAAAUUUUGUGCUAAUUUGAUUAAAUAUCGAGUUUGGUUAAAUAUAUAUCAUUUAAAUUUUGUGCUAAUUUGAUUAAAUAUCGAGUUUGGUUAAAAAUUAAUUAGAUAUUUUUUCUCGCAAAUUUUUAUAUUUAUCCCUGCUGAUUAUUUAAAAGAAUGUUAUGUUUAUAGAACAUAAUAGAGAAUGUUAUGUUUAUAGAACUGAAUCAGUCAAUAACAAUUUUAUUUCUCAUCUCUAGUUCUCGACCAGUCAAAAUUAAAUAUCAAUAGUAUUAGUUCUUAAUUUAUACUAAUAAAAUUUAGAGGAUUACUUUAAACAUUCUGUAACGGUUAAUUAAACAAUUGUUCAACCUGUAAACGUGGCUUCUAUCGGUUAUUUACUCGCUUGUAUUGUUUGUUGAGACCCUUGAGAUAAAUUAUAUAUCACAUGUAUAGUAUACGACUGAACGAAAUAUUUUGAUUUUUUAAAUGUUUACAGAAUUGUUUGUGAUAAUUUAUUUCGUAUCCACACUAUGAUAAUCUAUUUUAA